AUAACAAUUAAAAGCAUAUAAAUGUGUGUCUCAAAAAUCCCCAAACCUCGGGUCUUAUAGUUUUGUCCCACUUUUUACCUGCCUCACCACAUGGCUUUGCUGUAUAAAACAUCCUUGAAAAGUGGGGUGGGGGGCAAUCCACUUUCCAGUCUCCCUUCUGUCUCUCUUAGGGAGAAGCCUUCUUUCUCCCAAUAAAUUUUUCCUACUCUUAAAAAAAAAUCCCCAAACCAACAGAUUAUUUAAGUGUUCUGCUCUGAUUAUGUCAUGGCUUCACUGAAUAAAUCUGGCUUUAACUUAAUAAAAUUCUACCAUGGAAGAAGAUGCACAGAAAUUUCACCGAGCUGUUUGUGACUCACAACAUUGAAAGUACAAUAGCCCUUGCUAAUGAGAAAAGAGAGAGAGAAAUGGGAAUUGAUGCCAACCUUUUCCCUGUUCCUGCAGUCAUUUUUGAGUUAUCGAGGAAGUAAGGAAAGAAGAAUUGAAAUUGUGAAGGAGGACUAUAAUGUGAAGGAGGACUAUAAUGUGAAGGAG
rnacentral:lncRNA from 1 species